GACGAACGCUGGCGGCGUGCUUAACACAUGCAAGUCGAACGGAAAGGCCCGGCUUUUGUGGGGUGCUCGAGUGGCGAACGGGGGAGUAACACGUGAGUAACCUGCCCCUGACUGUGGGAUAAAUCCAGGAAACUGGGGCGAAUACCCGAUAGGAGCUCCUGCUGCAUGGUGGGGGAUGGAAAGAUUCGGCGGUUGGGGAUGGACUCGAGGCUUAUCCGCUUGUUGGUGGGGUAGUGGCUUACCAGGGCUAUGAAGGGUAGCCGGCCUGAGAGGGUGACCAGCCACAUUGGGACUGAGGUACGGCCCAGACUCCUACGGGAGGCAGCAGUGGAGAAUAUUGCAGAAUGGGCGGAAGCCUGAUGCAGCAACGCCGCGAGCGGGAUGCCGGCCUUCGAGUUGUAAACCGCUUUCGACUGUGACGAAGAGUGAGUGACGGUAAUGGGUAAAGAAGCACCGGCUAACUACGUG
rnacentral:rRNA from 1 species